rnacentral:rRNA from 1 species
GUACGUACAAGCAGUGGGAGCACGCUUAGGCGUGUGACUGCGUACCUUUUGUAUAAUGGGUCAGCGACUUAUAUUCUGUAGCAAGGUUAACCGAAUAGGGGAGCCGAAGGGAAACCGAGUCUUAACUGGGCGUUAAGUUGCAGGGUAUAGACCCGAAACCCGGUGAUCUAGCCAUGGGCAGGUUGAAGGUUGGGUAACACUAACUGGAGGACCGAACCGACUAAUGUUGAAAAAUUAGCGGAUGACUUGUGGCUGGGGGUGAAAGGCCAAUCAAACCGGGAGAUAGCUGGUUCUCCCCGAAAGCUAUUUAGGUAGCGCCUCGUGAAUUCAUCUCCGGGGGUAGAGCACUGUUUCGGCAAGGGGGUCAUCCCGACUUACCAACCCGAUGCAAACUGCGAAUACCGGAGAAUGUUAUCACGGGAGACACACGGCGGGUGCUAACGUCCGUCGUGAAGAGGGAAACAACCCAGACCGCCAGCUAAGGUCCCAAAGUCAUGGUUAAGUGGGAAACGAUGUGGGAAGGCCCAGACAGCCAGGAUGUUGGCUUAGAAGCAGCCAUCAUUUAAAGAAAGCGUAAUAGCUCACUGGUCGAGUCGGCCUGCGCGGAAGAUGUAACGGGGCUAAACCAUGCACCGAAGCUGCGGCAGCGACGCUGAUGCGUUGUUGGGUAGGGGAGCGUUCUGUAAGCCUGCGAAGGUGUGCUGUGAGGCAUGCUGGAGGUAUCAGAAGUGCGAAUGCUGACAUAAGUAACGAUAAAGCGGGUGAAAAGCCCGCUCGCCGGAAGACCAAGGGUUCCUGUCCAACGUUAAUCGGGGCAGGGUGAGUCGACCCCUAAGGCGAGGCCGAAAGGCGUAGUCGAUGGGAAACAGGUUAAUAUUCCUGUACUUGGUGUUACUGCGAAGGGGGGACGGAGAAGGCUAUGUUGGCCGGGCGACGGUUGUCCCGGUUUAAGCGUGUAGGCUGGUUUUCCAGGCAAAUCCGGAAAAUCAAGGCUGAGGCGUGAUGACGAGGCACU